rnacentral:rRNA from 1 species
CCUACGGGGGGCAGCAGUGAGGAAUAUUGGUCAAUGGACGAGAGUCUGAACCAGCCAAGUAGCGUGAAGGAUGACUGCCCUAUGGGUUGUAAACUUCUUUUAUAGGGGAAUAAAACGUGGCACGUGUGGGAUUUUGUAUGUACCAUAUGAAUAAGGAUCGGCUAACUCCGUGCCAGCAGCCGCGGUAAUACGGAGGAUCCGAGCUUUUUCCGGAUUUAUUGGGUUUAAAGGGAGCGUAGGUGGUUUGUUAAGUCAGUUGUGAAAGUUUGGGGCUCAACCGUAAAAUUGCAGUUGAAACUGGCAGUCUUGAGUACAGUAGCGGUGGGCGGAAUUCGUGGUGUAGCGGUGAAAUGCUUAGAUAUCACGCAGAACUCCGAUUGCGAAGGCAGUUCACUGGACUGCACCUGACACUGAGGCUCGAAAGUGUGGGUAUCAAACAGGAUUAGAUACCCUAGUAGUC